rnacentral:rRNA from 1 species
CCUACGGGAGGCAGCAGUGAGGAAUAUUGGUCAAUGGACGAGAGUCUGAACCAGCCAAGUAGCGUGAAGGAUGACUGCCCUAUGGGUUGUAAACUUCUUUUAUAUGGGAAUAAAAUGUUCCACGUGUGGGAUUUUGUAUGUACCAUAUGAAUAAGGAUCGGCUAACUCCGUGCCAGCAGCCGCGGUAAUACGGAGGAUCCAAGCGUUAUCCGGAUUUAUUGGGUUUAAAGGGAGCGUAGGUGGAUUGUUAAGUCAGUUGUGAAAGUUUGCGGCUCAACCGUAAAAUUGCAGUUGAAACUGGCAGUCUUGAGUACAGGAGAGGUGGGCGGAAUGCGUGGUGUAGCGGUGAAAUGCUUAGAUAUCACGAAGAACUCCGAUUGCGAAGGCAGUUCACUGGACUGCAACUGACACUGAGGCUCGAAAGUGUGGGUAUCAAACAGGAUUAGAUACCCCUGUAGUC